UNGCCCUGGAACGGAAAUCAGGUUGGG
rnacentral:piRNA from 1 species